rnacentral:rRNA from 1 species
GAUGAACGCUAGCGGCAGGCUUAACACAUGCAAGUCGAGGGGUAUAGGGAGCUUGCUUCCUAGAGACCGGCGCACGGGUGCGUAACGCGUAUGCAAUCUACCUUUUGCAGAGGGAUAGCCCAGAGAAAUUUGGAUUAAUACCUCAUAGUAUGUGAGAAUGGCAUCAUUUUCACAUUAAAGUCACAACGGCAAAGAUGAGCAUGCGUCCCAUUAGCUUGUUGGUAAGGUAACGGCUUACCAAGGCAACGAUGGGUAGGGUCCUGAGAGGGAGAUCCCCCACACUGGUACUGAGACACGGACCAGACUCCUACGGGAGGCAGCAGUGAGGAAUAUUGGACAAUGGGCGCAAGCCUGAUCCAGCCAUGCCGCGUGCAGGAUGACGGUCCUAUGGAUUGUAAACUGCUUUUGACGAGAAGAACAACAUUACGUGUAAUGUCUUGACGGUAUCGUAAGNGUAAGAUCGGCUAACUCCGUG